UUCAUGAUAUGAUGGUGUAAAAUAGGGAACACUUGAAUGUGAACAUAUGAACUAUUGAAAUAAGUGUGAUGAUGAAUGUGAUUCAAAAAUAAAAUAAAUACAACUGUGCUGAUUUGUGACCAUUGAUGUCUUAGGUGGUGCGGUCGGGAUUGGACCAUCAUCAAGACAGGAACGACCCACAGGUGGAGCAGGGACGUCACACCAACGAGAUGUCUAGGAUACCCGAUACACGGGAACCUACUUUUGCAAGGAAUUAAGUAGAUGCAUUCUAAAUCACAAUGUAUUUUGUAGGGAUCAAUGUACUGAAUGUAUAACUUUUAUUAGAUCCUUUUUGUUUAAAAAUUGUGAUGGCUAUUAGAAGUAUAAGAGUGCAAACUCAUGUCCAUGUAUAUAUAUUUUUAAUAUGAACUUCAAAUCAUGCAACCUUAAUAUUAUGUGUUUGUGUAA